rnacentral:lncRNA from 1 species
GCAAACUGUAUUCCAUGCUAUUUCACAUCUGGCUCUUCUCUUCACAGAUGUUUCUAGUAGUAAAAAUAGCUAAAGAGAAAGAAGGGAACCUUAGUAGUUGUGGUGAGAAAAAUGGAAUUCAAUGUGAUGGAAAAGCAACUAUAGAUGUGUAUGCAGAGCAGCAUUAAGUGUGACAAGGAAGGUGGAAUAACAUGGACUGAAUAUAGAACUGAGGCCGUGGAUCAGUCAUGCCACACAUUUCUCAGAUGGAUACAACUGUACCAAAUUUACUACCAAGACAGUCCAACCAAUUGAUCCUCAGUCUGCCAAACCCAGGCAGUGCAGUGACAAGUGAUCUUUUCCUGGAGGAGCUAAAGUGUUCUGUGUUUAAGGGAUGUGACUGAGAUCACGUGGAUCAUAACUGGAAAAACCUGGAUGUGAA